AUUGAACGCUGGCGGCAGGCUUAACACAUGCAAGUCGAGCGGAGAUGAGGUGCUUGCACCUUAUCUUAGCGGCGGACGGGUGAGUAAUGCUUAGGAAUCUGCCUAUUAGUGGGGGACAACAUUCCGAAAGGAAUGCUAAUACCGCAUACGCCCUACGGGGGAAAGCAGGGGAUCUUCGGACCUUGCGCUAAUAGAUGAGCCUAAGUCGGAUUAGCUAGUUGGUGGGGUAAAGGCCUACCAAGGCGACGAUCUGUAGCGGGUCGGAGAGGAUGAUCCGCCAAACUGGGACUGAGACACGGCCCAGACUCCUACGGGAGGCAGCAGUGGGGAAUAUUGGACAAUGGGCGCAAGCCUGAUCCAGCCAUGCCGCGUGUGUGAAGAAGGCCUUAUGGUUGUAAAGCACUUUAAGCGAGGAGGAGGCUACUUUAGAUAAUACCUAAAGAUAGUGGACGUUACUCGCAGAAUAAGCACCGGCUAACUCUGUGCCAGCAGCCGCCGUAACAC
rnacentral:rRNA from 1 species